UUAGAUUUCGAUAUUACUUCUUAUGAUUUUGAUUUUAAAAUAAAUAUUUAUUAUGUUACCAGCUUCAUACACAAUGUUUUGCAUCCGUUAUAAUAGAAUGGGCUUUCUGGUGUGUUCAAUUAAAUAAUUACUUUAAUCAAGGGAUAAGUAUACAAAAGAUGCUAAAAGGGUCGUCGAGAGUGGAACCGAGGAACUGCGACUCGGUGUGCCGCGACUUACCACCCGGGGACACGCAGCCAGUGUGUAUGAUGGCCAGCAGAUACAAAAAAGGAUACCUGUACUUCGCAAAUCACUGCCAAGCAAGACUAGCCAUGUGUAUCGAGAAUUUUGUUUUAAAUAUGGUUCAUUGGAGAAGGUGUCAAAGAUACGGACUAUAUUUAAUGCCAAACCCCUCAUACAUAUCCACCGCAAAGGACGAAUAAGUAUUGCGAGACAAUAAAAUGCCAUUUGCUAGUU